rnacentral:rRNA from 1 species
UACAGGGGGUGCAAACGUUGCUCGGAAUUAUUGGGCGUAAAGCGCGCGUAGGCGGCCACUUAAGUCGCGUGUGAAAGCCCCCGGCUCAACUGGGGAGGGUCACGCGAUACUGAUCGACUCGAAGGCAGGAGAGGGUAGUGGAAUUCCCGGUGUAGUGGUGAAAUGCGUAGAUAUCGGGAGGAACACCAGUGGCGAAGGCGACUACCUGGCCUGUUCUUGACGCUGAGGCGCGAAAGCUAGGGGAGCAAACGGG